rnacentral:rRNA from 1 species
UACAGAGGGUGCGAGCGUUAAUCGGAAUUACUGGGCGUAAAGGGCGCGUAGGCGGAUAGGCAAGUGAGAUGUGAAAUACCCGGGCUCAACCUGGGAACGGCAUCUUAAACUGCGUAUCUGGAGUACUGUAGAGGAUAGUGGAAUUUCCGGUGUAGCGGUGAAAUGCGUAGAGAUCGGAAGGAACAUCAGUGGCGAAGGCGACUGUCUGGACAGAUACUGACGCUGAGGCGCGAAAGCGUGGGGAGCAAACAGG